rnacentral:rRNA from 1 species
AUUGAACGCUGGCGGCAGGCCUAACACAUGCAAGUCGAGCGGAUGAAGGGAGCUUGCUCCUGGAUUCAGCGGCGGACGGGUGAGUAAUGCCUAGGAGUCUGCCUGGUAGUGGGGGAUAACGUCCGGAAACGGGCGCUAAUACCGCAUACGUCCUGAGGGAGAAAGUGGGGGAUCUUCGGACCUCACGCUAUCAGAUGAGCCUAGGUCGGAUUAGCUAGUUGGUGGGGUAAAGGCCUACCAAGGCGACGAUCCGUAACUGGUCUGAGAGGAUGAUCAGUCACACUGGAACUGAGACACGGUCCAGACUCCUACGGGAGGCAGCAGUGGGGAAUAUUGGACAAUGGGCGAAAGCCUGAUCCAGCCAUGCCGCAUGUGUGAAGAAGGUCUUCGGAUUGUAAAGCACUUUAAGUUGGGAGGAAGGGCAGUAAGUUAAUACCUUGCUGUUUUGACGUUACCAACAGAAUAAGCACCGGCUAACUUCGUG